rnacentral:tRNA from 1 species
AGCCCGGUCGUCUAGUUGGCCAAGGAUGGAGGCCUUUGGAGCCUUCGACGGAGGUUCGAAUCCUCCCCGGGCUG